GUGAAUCAUCGAAUCUUUGAACGCAAAUUGCACUCCCUGGUAUUCCGGGGAGUAUGCCUGUUUGAGGGUCGUUAGAAGACAAAUCGAAGCAUCGCUCUUUUUUUUAAGGGUGAUCGCGUCGGAAUUGAUCCGUCUUUCAACUGUUAAUUCAUGUCAAAUUGUCUUGAAAUUCAUCCAUCCGGUACGAUUAAAGCGUAUUUAAGAUCAAUCUUGAUUAAGAACGCGCGAUGCCGUCCCAUCUCAUGUAUUACGUUUGCCUUCGCGUC
rnacentral:misc_RNA from 1 species